UUUUGACCUCAGUUCAGACAAGGCUACCCGCCGAAUUUAAGCAUAUUACUAAGCGGAGGAAAAGAAAAUAACAAUGAUUCCCCUAGUAACGGCGAGCGAACCGGGAAGAGCCCAACUUGGAAAUCUGGAGGCUUGUCCUUCCGAAUUGUAGUCUAGAGUAGUGCCAUCUGCGGCUGGCCGGUCCCAAGUUCCCUGGAAAGGGACGUCAGAGAGGGUGAGAGCCCCGUCGAGGCCGGUUUAGUCGCUCCACGAUGCGCUUACAAGGAGUCGGGUUGUUUGGGAAUGCAGCCCUAAGCGGGAGGUAAAUUCCUUCUAAGGCUAAAUAUUGGCGAGAGACCGAUAGCGAACAAGUACCGCGAGGGAAAGAUGAAAAGACCUUUGAAAAGAGAGUUAAAAAGUACCUGAAAUUGUUGAGGGGGAAGCGAUUAAAACCAGCGGGUGCUCCCUAGGUAGGCUUUGCCACACGCUAGGGGCUGGUCAACGUGGGUUAGUCGGGGGGGACAUUACUCCUGACUGACCGAGGACUCGACGUUGGCGGAAUGGUUUUAAUCGGCCCGUCUAGAAACACGGACCAAGGAGUCUAA
rnacentral:rRNA from 1 species